GGAGAGAUGGCCGAGUGGUCUAAGGCGUUCGAUUUAAGCUCGAAUAACGAAAGUUGCGUGGGUUCGAACCCCACUCUCUCCA
rfam:Coccidioides immitis RMSCC 2394 supercont1.5 genomic scaffold, whole genome shotgun sequence.